CAGCCGUAAACAAUGUGCGUUAGGUGUGUCGGUAACCACGUGUUACUGAUGCGCCGAAGAGAAAUCGUGAAACGCACCACCUGGGAAGUACGGUCGCAAGGCUGAAACUUAAAGGAAUUGGCGGGGGAGCACCACAACAGGUGGAGCCUGCGGUUUAAUUGGACUCAACGCCGGGAAGCUCACCGGAUAGGACAGCAGAAUGAUUGCCGGGCUGAAGACCCUGCAUGACUAGCUGAGAGGAGGUGCAUGGCGUCAGUGACU
rnacentral:rRNA from 1 species